CUGCGUGUCAUCGUCUCGCUUCAGUAUUCCUGUUUAAUUCGUCGGUAGCUCCUCAGAGGGUGUUUGCGUUAAUGAUGGACGGCCGUAGUGGGAAGUUGCUAAUGUAUUAGUUGUGCAUCAUCAAGAGAAGAGAUCGCUAGACGGUCGGUAUAUCUGUGAGAUCGCUGCUGCGCCGUCCAAAAAUAGAUAAAUGAACGACGAGCAUGCUAUCCUUAUUGUCGGUGGUUCCACGCACUCUGUAACAAUGCAUGAUUAUUAAAAGGUUCGUGGCCAACGCCAGUGAGGAAUGGAGGUGUUCAAAACCAGUCAGGAGAUAGUGCAUGAAGGGUGGCUCAUUAAAUCACCACCUACAAAACUCUGGCGAGCGCGAUGGAGAAAACGUUGGUUUGCUCUUCGACAUAGUGGAGAAUUACCUGGACAAUAUUUUUUAGAAUAUUAUACAGAUAGACGUUGUAGGAAAUUGAAAGGUCGUAUUGAUCUUGAUCAAUGUGAACAGGUAGAUGCAGGCCUAAGAUUUGAAAAUAGAAAGCAGAAAUAUCAAUACAUGUUCAAUGUUAAAACACCGAAAAGGACAUAUUAUCUAGUAGCAGAAAGCGAAGCUGAUAUGAACAAGUGGGUAGACGCAGUUUGUCAAGUUUGUGGUUUAAAGGCAUACACUCAAGAUGAGGAUCAGCAAUGUCAAAUGUUCCAAUUUGAAACACAGGAAUCCCCUCCAAUUUCACCUAGUAGCACCAUCUCUGGUCCUUACAUUCCUAUUAGCGAAUGCAUUUCUGGACGACGCUUAAACGAUACUAGUUCUCUGAAUUCAGCUUUGGGACAAGGACCAGAGCAUUAUGAUGCUCCACGACGACUAGCUCCUUCUCCUCCUAGGUCUCCUACGACGACUGACGCAGAAAGUGUUUUUACCGACGAUGAAUGGACUGCUCCUGUGCCUAGUGUUAAUUGGGAAACGUUUCCUUCUUCGGGUGAAUCUAAACAACCGCCUAGCGAUGCAGAAAUUGGUUCUUGGAGCGUCAGAAAACGAUUUGGAAAGUUGAGGAUCGUUGAUUCAGCUGUGCCGCCAUCCGUAGACAAGUUACCAGCACCUCCUAGGCCACCAAAACCUCCUCACAUGUUACCUGAAAAUCCUGGACAUAAUUACCUAAAUUUAGAUGGUGCUACCGAAAGCUCAAAACCAACCACUCCAGCCACUCCUGCACCGUCUACACCGGCGACUGCAAUUGUAACAGAUGAAUCAUACGAUUUUCCAAGAUCUCAUCAACCAGGUCAAGCGCCUGACAUAAAUCCAGCUGAUCAGUCGUCUAAACAUUUUUAUUCGAAUGCUGCUCCUAGUACUGUGGAAGAUACGCGCGUAUUCCGUUACGAUUUUCAAGAAGAAGAACCAUCGAGUCCUCGUUCCGAAAGCUCGGCAACCGCUACGUAUUCAAAUUUACCGAGUCCUCUUGUUCGAGAUAAUUCAACUACGAUACCAACAACAGUGGCACCACCACCUCCGGUUGUUUAUCGAGAAUUAAAACCAGGAAGAAAAACUAGCGAUUCUAUGUCGAUCAUAAGCAACGAAGCUUCUCCGGGACCGAUAGCUUCGGCUUUGGAAAUGAGUUCUGCCGAACACUCUCCAGCUGAACCACCAAGUAUUAAUAGAAAACUGAAGCCUCCGUUAAAUAAAUCUCCUGUAGAAGGGCCGUUACAAUUAGCAUCUCCACCUGGAAGAGGAAGAAUUAGAGCAGCCCCCAGUCCUACGCCUCCAGUUCAUGUUCAUUUAAAUCGGCAUCAAUCAACGUCGGAUGAAGAUAACAAUAUUUUUGACGAUAAAGAAGAGAUAUACUAUUAUCAGGAUCAAAAUACAUUUAUUCCUGCUUCAAAGCGUCUUGUCGUUUUGCAAUAUUUAGAUCUUGAUUUGGAAGCAACAGAAAAUUUCUCAUCUUCCAGUUUACCACCAGCUCAGUCUCCGCCUAGUACAACAGUAUAUAAAACAGUAGAUUUUUUGAAAACUGAGGCGUUUAAUCGUACUCGCCAACGAGUCGAAGAGGAGAGAAAACAAUGCACGGACGAACUGGCCUAGCUUUAAAACGUAUAUUUUAAACUGUUAAAAUACAACGAAAAGGGGACAAGAAAAGUGAAUUACAAUUCUUAGGUAGAGUAUAGUAAUAUUAUUUACUAGCACUUCACGAUAUUAUAAAACUGCGAUACUUACGCAGUACUUAGCGAUUUUUCAAGUGAUUUAAAAACUUUUAUGCUUAUUAUUAAAUCGAAGAUGUCUAAAUAUCUUCGUGAUCAAUGGCAUAUGAUAGUUGAAGCCCGAAAAAGAGCAAUAUUCAAUGGACCAAAAAUGUAAUGUUAUAGUUAGAGAAAACGAUAAAGAGACGAAAAGAGCAAAAUUUUGCGAGACUUGUUAGAUCAGAAUCUGUUAUAGAAUUUUUAAUUAGAAGGAUACGAUGAGCGUACGAACAUUGCAACUGCUUUUCCGAAAGUAGUAUUUUACAAACUUGUUUUGUUUAUCUGAUGGAUUCUAAUGGUUUUUUUUUUUAACAAAAGCUGUUAAAGUAAUUGUUUAUAUUUCACAUUUUUAAAAUUGAAUUAUAUUUUUAUUGUUUCCUAUAAAUUCUUUUCGUUUUUGUAAACAUAUUUAUAUUUAAAUUAUCGACAGUGUACUCGUUGUACCUGCUGACAUGGAUUAUUAACAUAUUUGUAUAUAGUAAUAAAAAUUCUGCCCAUAAAAAUCACAAUAAACGAUGACGAUAUACACACAUUCUUAACAGCUAUUAAAGCACAGAACUGCAUGCCAUAAUUAGAUGUGUAUACAUAUAUACGCACGAAAAGUACGUGAAAAAAAUAUAUUUUAUGUAUGUGUAUAAUAGAUGCUAAUAUG